rnacentral:rRNA from 1 species
ACCCUACUAUACCCAGCCAUAACAAAACAAUCAAAUCAACCAAUUGUUCGCCAAAUAACUACGAGUAUAAACUUAAAAUUUAAAAGACUUGACGGUACUUCAUAACAACCUAGAGGAGCCUGUCUAAUAACCGAUACCCCACGAUUAACCCGACCCGCCCUAGCCCCACAGUCUAUAUACCGCCGUCGCCAGCUUACCUUGUGAAAGAAAUAAAAUAAGCACAAUAGACCACCUCUAAAACGACAGGUCGAGGUGUAACUAAUGGACGGGUAAAAGAUGGGCUACAUUUUCUAACACAGAAAACACGAAUAAACUAUGAAACUAGAAACCGAAGGCGGAUUUAGCAGUAUUUUAAGAAUAAAACGCUUAACUGAAACCAACGCAAUGAAGUGUGUACACACCGCCCGUCAUCCCUG